CUCAGAUCUCAUUCUCCUUCAGAGCCAGGAUUACGGGACAGGAGAAGACCUUUGAACAGUCAGUGGGCAAACAUAUCCUCCCUUGGUGAGGCAUCUGCUUCAAUCUACAGAUUUGACAACAAAGAAUCAACAGGUAACACCAAAGCCAAAUGAUAUAUGGGCCCUCUGGGAGACAGGAAGGAUAAAAGGAAUCCGAAAGAAGGAUCUACAAUUACCUCCGUUAUGACAAGGCCUAUAGGUUUCAACUCGGCCAGAACUACCAACAGUCAAUUAUUUUAAAAUAUACUCUUAUUGUCAUUAUUAAGGUAUAUUCCAGAGGGCUUGCCAUUUCAUAAGUCAGGUAAAUGAGUAUAUUUCUUUCUGGACAAUGUUACCCUUCCCUUCAAGUUCCAGUUUUUAAAUUCUAGGAAAAAUUAGAGAAUUUGAAAGUUGGCAAUUAUUUCAUUAGACAGUUUCUAAUUUAUAUUGAUUGUAACUGAAUUUAAAAUUUGUGUGGGUUUCCCAUCCAUUCUGCCCCUCACUCCCCAAGUGCUUUCCCAGAGCAGCCUGCCAGAGGCCACGAGCACACAGCCC